AUGAGUGUGACGAUCUGGCUGGUUCAUCACAGACCCUCAGCAGGGAAAAGAUAACAUUCUCCAGAGUGGAUCCACACCCACAGCUUUGUAUGAAGUUUACCACAGAUUCUGGAUCCUGGAUCCGGUGCCCCUUUGCAGAUGGGAAUUUCCAAG